CCUACGGGAGGCAGCAGUGGGGAAUAUUGCACAAUGGGGGAAACCCUGAUGCAGCGACGCCGCGUGAGUGAAGAAGUAAUUCGUUAUGUAAAGCUCUAUCAGCAGGGAAGAAAAUGACGGUACCUGAGUAAGAAGCCCCGGCUAACUACGUGCCAGCAGCCGCGGGAAUACGUAGGGGGCAAGCGUUAUCCGGAUUUACUGGGGGUUAAGGGGGCGUAGACGGCAGUGCAAGUCUGGAGUGAAAGGCGGGGGCUCAACCCCCGGACUGCUCUGGAAACUGUACGGCUGGAGUGCACGAGAGGUAAGUGGAAUUCCUAGUGUAGCGGUGAAAUGCGUAGAUAUUAGGAAGAACACCAGUGGCGAAGGCGGCUUACUGGAGUGUAACUGACGUUGAGGCUCGAAAGCGUGGGGAGCAAACAGGAUUAGAUACCCGAGUAGUC
rnacentral:rRNA from 1 species